rnacentral:lncRNA from 1 species
GUGAUCUGGUUAGCUUGGCCUAGUUUCUUGCUGCUUUUUUGUUGACCUUGUAAGAGCAAUAGAUUUGAAACGGGUUCAUGGUUCACAGUUGGAACAUUAAACUGUUUCAAGGUGAGUUAGGAUUUAAACCAUAGUUUCCCACUCAGACAAUAAACAGAUAUGCAUGUCCAUGGCCAUGCUACUUGCUAUUCUGCUCAGGUUUACUUACGCUAAAUCUAAACUGCCCUGAUGAAUGUAUAGAGACUUCUAAUAGAAAUAUAGAGACUUGUAAUGGAAAUAUCCGUACAAAUUAAGCAUGAAUUAAAUUGAGUGUGUGUGUAAGCAACUGAAGAAACAGUAAAACAAGUGUUAAAAUAAUGGUUUGCAUUGACAACAAAGGACACUGUUCCCAGCAAUAAAAAUGAGAAGUGUGUUGUUCAUGUCAAGACCAGAAAGCCUGCACUCUGGUAAAAUCAUAGCACAGAUGAAUCAUCAGGGGGAGAUCCUACACUGACAGCAGGAGGAUGGUGUCAAGGUCAUAGCCCAUCACAGGCCGUUCCUUUUCUUGUUAGCUCACAAGCAAAACAGGCCAUAGCUACACAGUUUUGCAUAUAUUCCAAACAUAUAUUACAAGCAAAGAAAAAAAAAAAAAAAAAGGAUAUAAUCAGUAGUCUUGCCUAAGAUUCAUGGACAAUGAUGUGAGAUUCUGAAUCAAAGGACAACAUCAUAAUAACUGUUGGCUCCUAACAGGUAUAAAAGAUCAGUCCCAGACCAAUUCAGCAUCAUCAAACAAGAACUCUUGAAUGUGAUGAGCACACAACAGCUGGCACAUUCUCCAUGUAGCACAAGAGACCAUAGCCAGAACACUUGGGCACACCCAUUCUAGAGUUUGUGUGUGGUUCUGAGAGUGUCAGUGGAAAAAAUGAACUUACUUAGAGCUCCUGAUAAUAAGUACCUACUUCCCCUUCCGCAAGAAUGUCACCUGCCAUGAAGGACACCGUGGCACUUGCACCAUCCCCUUCCAUACAGGUCUGUGGCCUUGGUGGAGAAUUACAGAGGUCAGAGUCAGACACAAACAACCAAAGUAUUUAUGAAAACUGCCACACUGAGAGACACAGAGAGCCGCAGUUACAAAGAAGAAAGGAACAACAUAAGGUGCAAGAACAGAGCCUAAGGAAGUGCUGGAGAAGACAGUGGCCCAUUGGAGACCUCCAUGAAUAGCGUUCCUGAUGGACAAGCAUUACAGCGAGCAUCACUGGAGAACAGGAGGUACUGGAGUCUUUCACAGAUACAGCCACACCUAAAUAAAUUUAUUCAGAAUACAGAGGAACUGCCGUCU